AGCUUUGCGCAGUGGCAGUAUCGUAGCCAAUGAGGUUUAUCCGAGGUGCGAUUAUUGCUAAUUGAAAAACUAAAAAUAGAAUUACCAUAUGAUCCAACAAUUCCACUUCUCGUUACCUAUUUUAAGAAAAUAAAAACACUAAUUCAAAAAGAUAUAUGCACCUCUCUGUUCUUUGCAACACUAUUCACAGU
rnacentral:snRNA from 1 species